rnacentral:rRNA from 1 species
CAGCAGUCGCCGCGGGAAUACGUAGGGUGCGAGCGUUAAUCGGAAUUACUGGGCGUAAAGCGUGCGCAGGCGGUUGUGUAAGACAGGUGUGAAAUCCCCGGGCUUAACCUGGGAACUGCGCUUGUGACUGCACAGCUAGAGUAUGGCAGAGGGGGGUGGAAUUCCACGUGUAGCAGUGAAAUGCGUAGAGAUGUGGAGGAACACCGAUGGCGAAGGCAGCCCCCUGGGCCAAUACUGACGCUCAUGCACGAAAGCGUGGGGAGCAAACAGGAUUAGAUACCCCCGUAGUCCCUGUCUCUUAUAC